GGAGGCCACCAUAACCGGAAGUCAGUCUGCCCUGGACCAGGACGCACAGUGACCUCAUCACGGAAGACAGAAGAUAAACAGAGCGCUCUCUCCCACACAGAUAGAAUUCAAAUAACCUUCCAGAAUGCCUCUGAGCUGUGGAAGGAAGACGGAGUACCCAGAGGUAGAGGCCUGCACGGGCAUGAAAUUGAAGCCCGUACCCGAGACCAGACCCGAUCGAGCCCGAAUGAUUUCUAGCAUCCAGCAAGGGAGGUGUGUGCAAGGAAUAAGCCUGGCAGGCUCUCGUCAUUAAUCUCAGAAUAAGCAGAGAAGAUGGGGCCAAUCAGGUGACAUCGGUGACAGACCCACCAAACUUCGUUUGGUAAAAGUACCUCAAUGAGAACAAAUUGCAGUCCUUUGUAAUGCAACUUAGAAAAGAAGCAGCAAAAGUAAAAGGUUAUUUCCCCGACUUUUUGUCCAUAUACCUGGGUAGAAAUACCAAGCUGAAAUUUGACAGGUGACCUAAUUCAUCCAUAAACUUUAGUCAUGGGCAUUCCCUUGCAGAUAUGCUUUAAAGCAGACUUUCUUGAGGGUUAUGUACAACAAUACUUAGUAGAGUAGAAUAGGAUCAUGAUUAUAUUAAUAGAAUUGAGGUAUAUAAGGUGUUUUGGCACCCAUAUCAUUUUAUAACCUAUGUAAUUUGUAAUGAUUUGAAAUAUGUAAUAAAAUGGAAAAUGUAA